UACAGAGGUGGCAAGCGUUGUUCGGAAUUACUGGGCGUAAAGGGCGCGUAGGCGGCUUGGUCAGUCCCGUGUGAAAUCCCUCGGCUCAACUGAGGAACUGCACGGGAAACUGCCUGGCUUGAGUUCGGGAGAGGGAAGCGGAAUUCCGGGUGUAGCGGUGAAAUGCGUAGAUAUCCGGAGGAACACCGGUGGCGAAGGCGGCUUCCUGGACCGACACUGACGCUGAGGCGUGAAAGCUAGGGGAGCAAACGGG
rnacentral:rRNA from 1 species